rnacentral:rRNA from 1 species
CGGACGGGUGAGUAACACGUGGAUAACCUACCUAUAAGACUGGGAUAACUUCGGGAAACCGGAGCUAAUACCGGAUAAUAUUUUGAACCGCAUGGUUCAAAAGUGAAAGACGGUCUUGCUGUCACUUAUAGAUGGAUUCGCGCCGCAUUAGCUAGUUGGUAAGGUAACGGCUUACCAAGGCAACGAUGCAUAGCCGACCUGAGAGGGUGAUCGGCCACACUGGAACUGAGACACGGUCCAG